AGCACUGUUCGUUUUUUGUUUUGUCUUUUGAUCUGGACAAAAACUGAGAACUAAGUGCUAAUAGUAAAAUCACUCUUUUGCAACCCACAGUUUAUUGUGAUAUGAGCUGUGUUACUAGUAAGAGGGGACAAU
rfam:Alligator sinensis unplaced genomic scaffold scaffold116_1, whole genome shotgun sequence